GGAGUUGCAGCUCAGGGGCAGAGCACUUGCCUGGCACGCAAAAGGCCUUGGGUUUGAUCCCCAGCACUA
rnacentral:tRNA from 1 species